CGGGGUGUGGCGCAGCCUGGUAGCGCACCUGCUUUGGGAGCAGGGAGUCGGAGGUUCAAAUCCUCUCACCCCGACCA
rnacentral:tRNA from 4 species